AGAGCACUCGUUUUCAACCAGAGCCCAGAAACAGCCGUUGUCCCCUGGCAAAAGAGGCCCAGUGCUGAGCCCUGGGCAAGUGUCUCCAGACAUCCCUACCUUUCUCUCCCUUUAUUAAGUCUUCUUUCCCAACAGAACCCAUUUCCUUUGCCACUAAAACUAGGUUGCAUCCAAAAGUUUCUCACAAGCUUAAAAAAGAAAAAUUGACACCAUUAUGCAGAAGAAUUCACAAAAGCUGCAGAGCGCCAGGGCAGAGAAGCAGCGUCAGACACAGGCCCAGGACACACAGGACGGAUGUUUCCAAGUCACUCCAGGGACAGCAUGAGGCUCUCGCUGGCCUGUGUCUCAGAAGCUGCUUUCUCCACCUCUUCCUUGUGAAUUUCCUAAACUCUCUACCUCUGGUUCAUGUUCGCUCUUCUGGAUAGUCUGUGUGCAAUGAGCCCUUAAAGGAAUAUUGCAAUGAGCUAUAAGAGUUGUGAGCCUGCGGUAGGCAAGGCCUGCACUGGGACAGCAAAGGAAAUUUCAUUGCAUCUGCUCCUAAGUCACAGGUUAUCCAGAGCCCACUUUACCCCAAGAGACAGCCUCUCCCCCAUCCCUAGGAAACAGUAGAGCUUAGGAAAAUGAAUGACUCCACCACAUUCAAGAGGCUUCAAAUUGUAUACUUGGCAUUUCUGAUUUCAGUUCUGAAAUUCUGUCCCUUAGUCGUGGGGAAAAUAAGAAAUGGAGUUACACCUUGUCAUUUAAAAAACCAUUGAAUUAAGAGAAAUGGAAAAUCAUGCCCACAUAAAACAUGUAUGGAAGUGUUCAUGUUUUGAUCAUGGCGGGGGAUAUAGCUCAGUCAUGGAGUGCUUGCAUAGCAAUGUGCAUAAUCCGAGGUUCAAGCCCCAGCACCGAAAAAGAGAAGCGGGAGGAGUGGAGGCAUUCACAGCAGCGUUUUCAGUAUAGGCGCAAAGGGGAAGGAGUUUAAACACCUACUGAGGAAUGGAUAAGCGGAGUGCCUUGUCUAUACUCGGGAUGCUAGUCAUCAGUAGAAAAGUUUGAAAUGAUAGAUACGAUGGAUGAUCCCUUAAACAUCUCCCUAAGUAACGAGGUCAGCCUAGGAAGGCGUAUGUUCCAUAUUUCUGGGAUAUAUGGGCUCACCGAUGCAGAAAAAAGUACAGCCUGGUAUCCUGGAUUGGAGACACGGACUGGACUUUGGAAGACAACAGAAUGGAACAGAAUUUACUUGAGUGGCGAUGUUCUUGAAUGAACGGAAGUCAUGCUUGCCCACUUGAUGACUGCAUUUACAAACCACUGAAUUUUACUUUUAGUGGGUGAAUUGCAUGGUACCUUCAUUUUAAUCUCAAUAAAGCUGCGAGUAUUUUUAAGAGAUUUCUAAA
rnacentral:lncRNA from 1 species